rnacentral:piRNA from 1 species
UGCUUAAUUGAUUUGACACACCUCCCUACAC